rnacentral:rRNA from 1 species
AAUGGACGAAAGUCUGACGGAGCAACGCCGCGUGUACGAUGAAGGCCCUCGGGUUGUAAAGUACUGUCUUCAGGGACGAACGGUAUCUAUGUAAAUAAUGUAGGUACAUGACGGUACCUGAGGAGGAAGCCCCGGCUAACUACGUGCCAGCAGCCGCGGUAAUACGUAGGGGGCAAGCGUUGUCCGGAAUCAUUGGGCGUAAAGGGCGCGUAGGCGGAUAUUUAAGUCUGGUGUGAAAACCUAGGGCUCAACCCUGGGACUGCAUCGGAAACUGGGUAUCUUGAGGACAGGAGAGGAAAGUGGAAUUCCACGUGUAGCGGUGAAAUGCGUAGAUAUGUGGAGGAACACCAGUGGCGAAGGCGACUUUCUGGACUGUAACUGACGCUGAGGCGCGAAAGCGUGGGGAGCAAACAGGAUUAGAUACCCUGGUAGUCCACGCCGUAAACGAUGAGUGCUAGGUGUAGAGGGUAUCGACCCCUUCUGUGCCGCAGUUAACACAAUAAGCACUCCGCCUGGGGAGUACGGC